ACAUCAGCAAAGUACAAUGACCAGGUAGUUACAGGUAGCCCCAUGUUAACCAACCCCAAGGAAAACAAAAUAGAAAAAUUCAGUUGUGUAGAUGCCAGAAAGGGCACUCUGUUUGGUUGGUUUAAAUGGGAAGUAGCCUGCCAAACAAGCGUGAUUUAUGUUUUUGUGAGGAAACUGUCAGUGCUGUAACACAGCCAUUGCCAUAGCAGACUUUUUAAAGGUGUGUUAUCCAGCUUAGCUGCAACAGAAUGCUUCCAUAUAGCUCAGUGCAAAAACAUGACUCCGGGAAACCAAAACCACCAACCGCUCUGGAGCAGAACCAGGGCCACGUGAAGGAUUCCCUCCAGAUUGCUCAGCUCCUUUGUUUGGACAAUUCUAUGGAGUUUUGUGAACCUCUGCCUCAGCCUGUUGGGAUGAUCACUGCUGUGAGAUAAAACAGCUAAGGUUUCAAGUUAGGUUAGGCUGUCUAAAUUCUGAUAAGAUGUUUAAAUUCCAGGCAAAUCCCUAACACAGAAGAAUGUCUGGGCCUUGACCAAGAUGGUGUCACUGGGUAUUUAGAAAGGUGCAUUGGCACCUAAAUUAGGCACUCUUUACUGUCAAUGGAAAGAGCCUCCAGCAAGCAAUUCAGAACAUGCAAAUGUGGUACCUUAUUGAGUACAGGACCUAGAUGCUCCCAGGUGUUGGUGAUUCUACAUUGAGCUGGACAUAAGUAAAAGCAAAACUUCAGAAAACAUACACUCCAGGGCAGGCAAGAAGUUCUUCCUCUCUCUCCACUUAGAAGGCUUCAGCCGACAGCUCCUUUCCCUCAGCUUUCAGCAUCGUGACCCUUUACAGAGCUGGGACCCCAACAGGUGUGGGUUCAGGAUGACUUGGGGUGCUCAGGAAAAUGAGUUCUUUCUUCUUCCCUUGCUAUGAAACUGAAAUUGAGUCUUGCUUACACCUGGAGAACAGAAGAGAUGUGAACACCGGGAAACCACACAAAGGGACCUUGAAAAUGGAUGUAUUUAGCGGCCAUACAAUCCAGAACAGCAUCCAACUUCUGCGUGGCUAAAACAAGGUAACACAUGGGAAAGUACAAAAAGCCCUAUGAUAAAUCAGUGUGAGGUGAUCUUUCCUCAUUUUGUUGCUUCUACUUCAUGUCAUACUGCCUUCUGGAAGUGACUGUCCUAAAUCUUGAAGCCCAAGGUCUUUGUAUUGUGUUAGCAUCAGCCACC
rnacentral:lncRNA from 1 species